ACAGGCGCCUGUACUCAGCACGGCGGGCCUGUAGCCUCCUGCUGAGGCCCUCCCCACUCCACUGCUCAUCCCCACUCCACCGCUCAGCCUCUGGGUGCCCCGGUUGCCACAGGGGCCCCCUCCCUGGGGGGAAGUGGCGAGACCCAGACCACAGGGAAACCAGCCCCAAUCCAUCCUGUGCUGAGGUUUAGAAUCUAGCUGGCUCUUCCUGACGACACACAGAGACCUGUGGCAUGGCUCUCAGAUUCUGAGGAGCCAGGAGUGGAGUUGUUAUCUCAAGACUUCUCAGAGUCUGUCGAGUCUCCUGCAGCCCAUCAUUGCCGGCCGGCCUGCCUGCCUGCGUCACAGCCGCAGGGCUCUGUCUUUGGAGCAGAAUUCCCCAGGAGAUGUCUGCAGCAAGGCCAUGGGCUGCCCUGGCCAGGGAGAGGGUGGGGGAACAGGAAGCCUCAGCUGUGUGUCUGGUCUGGUACUAAUUAGCUGUGUGACCUUGGGCUAGUCACUUAACCUCUCUGGUCUGUUUACUUUUCUUUAAAU
ensembl:lncRNA